rfam:Gorilla gorilla gorilla genomic chromosome, chr2A, whole genome shotgun sequence
GCCGGGCGCGAUGGCUCACGCCUGUAAUCCCAGCACUUUGGGAGGCCGAGGCGGGUGGAUCACCUGAGGUCAGGAGUUCGAGACCAGCCUGGCCAACAUGGUGAAACCCUGUCUCUA